rnacentral:rRNA from 1 species
CCCUUAGAUGUUCUGGGCUGCACGCGCGCUACACUGACGCACGCAACAGGUGCCUGCUCCGAGAGGACUGGGUAAUCAUUUGAGUGUGCGUCGUGAUGGGGAUAGAAUAUUGUAAUUAUUACUCUUCAACGAGGAAUUCCUAGUAAGCGCAAGUCAGCAGCUUGCGCUGAUUACGUCCCUGCCCUUUGUACACACCGCCCGUCGCUCCUACCGAUGGGUGAUCCGGUGAAUGAUUCGGACUUCAGCGGCUCCUCUGGGGCGCGCCGGAGAAAGUUUUGUGAACCUUAUCACUUGGAGGAAGGAGAAGUCGUAACA